GCCACACUAGACUCUCCAACGGUUGGAAUGGGUAAGACUUCUUUAGCGGAAGGUGUAGGAGGAGCUAUAGUAGAAUCCCUAAAGGCCGGUAUAGGUAAAACCUCAGAUAUAUCAAGAUGGUCAGAAGAGGUAAAGAUAUACCUUUCCGAAGUGCAAUCGGAAAAGACAAGUCCGCAGUAAGAGCAAGGUCAGGUGUAGGACGUGAAUCAACUGGGCUGGAUACUGGGCGAGGACGACGAUGAUAUGUCAAGAGUGGAGUUUCUGUGGCAGGGAGUCUAGGAGGAGCCACACUAAACUCUCCAAAGGUUGGAAUGGGUAAGACUUCUAUAGCGGAAGGUGAAGGAGGAGCUAUAGUAGACCCGCUAAAGGUCGGUAUAGGUAAAACCUCAGAUAUAUCAAGAUGGUCAAAAUGGUCAGAAGAGGUAAAGAAAGGAGCGGAAGGUGAAGGAGGAGAUAUAGUAGACUCCCUAAAGUGCGGUAUAGGUAAAACCUCAGAUAUAUCAAGACGGUCAGAAUGGUCAGAAGAGGUAAAGAAAGGUUUAUACUCAAAAAAUGUGACAUCAGCUGACAUAAGGUACCUACAAAGAUCAGGUGAAUAACAACGAUAGCCCUUCUGGAC
rnacentral:lncRNA from 1 species